rnacentral:rRNA from 1 species
CAGUCGACGGUGAAGAGGAGCUUGCUUCUUGGAUCAGUGGCGAACGGGUGAGUAACACGUGAGUAACCUGCCCUUGACUCUGGGAUAACUGCUAGAAAUGGUAGCUAAUACCGGAUACGACCCUCGGCCGCAUGGUCAGGGGGUGGAAAGAAUUUUGGUCAAGGAUGGACUCGCGGCCUAUCAGGUAGUUGGUGAGGUAAUGGCUCACCAAGCCUACGACGGGUAGCCGGCCUGAGAGGGUGACCGGCCACACUGGGACUGAGACACGGCCCAGACUCCUACGGGAGGCAGCAGUGGGGAAUAUUGCACAAUGGGCGAAAGCCUGAUGCAGCAACGCCGCGUGAGGGACGACGGCCUUCGGGUUGUAAACCUCUUUUAGUAGGGAAGAAGCGAAAGUGACGGUACCUGCAGAAAAAGCACCGGCUAACUACGUGCCAGCAGCCGCGGUAAUACGUAGGGUGCGAGCGUUGUCCGGAAUUAUUGGGCGUAAAGAGCUCGUAGGCGGUUUGUCGCGUCUGCUGUGAAAUCCGGAGGCUCAACCUCCGGCCUGCAGUGGGUACGGGCAGACUAGAGUGCGGUAGGGGAGAUUGGAAUUCCUGGUGUAGCGGUGGAAUGCGCAGAUAUCAGGAGGAACACCAAUGGCGAAGGCAGAUCUCUGGGCCGUAACUGACGCUGAGGAGCGAAAGCAUGAGGAGCGAACAGGAUUAGA